ACCAACCGGAGCGUGUCUCAGCAGAGGCGGACCACGCCCAGCAGAGUGGAGGUGUAACGGGAAACCUCCUCUGAACAUUUAAGGAGCGGCCUUAAAGGGAGCCGUUGCCUCCGGGUUGCAGCAGACUGUUUGUUCUCCAGUCAGAGGACGCUGCAGCUGCACCGUGAGUCACUGCACGUGAUGGGAACUCCCCGGUACGGCUCCAGCUCACACCUUGUGACCCUCGACCCCUGACCAGAGCUUCCGAUCAGCUGAGGUCGUCCCCGUCGUCGCUCCUUCACACGUCGGCACGCACGCCUUUUUCUCUGAGCUGCGCCUCAGGUUUUAGUCAAAACGGGGGGAUAAAUACUUCAUUCAAAAGUUACCUCGAUGAAAGGCUUUUUACUUAAAAUUGCUGCAGGGAAAGAUCAUUUCAAGUGUUUUAUACACUGAUGGGUAGAUUAUAUUUCAUAUUUUAUUAUUAUAUAUCAAGUAAAAAGUAAUUUCACUUCCAUAAUCAAUACAGGAUAGUAAAAGGUAAGUAUUCUUGUCUGAGAUGUUGUGCAGUAGAAGUGGAACGUAGUGGCAGGCUGCUUAAGUAACUUAAGUAAAUACACUUUAUGUAAAUGAGAACAAAUAAAUGGUGAAUUUGUGUGUGUGUGUGUGUGUUGACCCAGUUGUUGCGUGCCGCUGACACACAAAGUUAUCUUUAGUCAGCUAGCAGGGAGGCUGCGGAUGAUGGCAGCUGCCCGGUUGCCGAGCAACAGGUUUGGAUUGUUUACAGUGUGUUUCAGUGGAAGUUAACAGACGCCUGCGAGACCAGAGGGUAGGUGACAUAAAUAAAUGUUGAUGUUGUACAGCGUGCAGAUUUGUACAUGUGCUGUCUAUUCGUUAAGUUAUAUCAAUCUACUGCUCCACUGUGCUUAAGUACACAUUUGGUAGUAUGACACACUUGAGCGUCAGUCACUUGUUAAAGUAUCUUUGGUGUGGUAACCAUGCUCGUACUGCAGUAAAGGAUCUGAAUACUUGCUCCACAACUGCAGCAAGAAAACAACAAAGACAGAAAACAUCCGGCUGGGAAGACAGAUAAUCCCGAAGCAUCCGUUCACUAAUGUGUUUUAUGACAGUCAGCUGUUUGUCCUCCCACAUUCUGUUUAUCACAUCAACGUGCGCGUUUGAAUCUGAAUCUUUCCAUCCGAAUAGUGACAAUAAAUUGACAUGCUGCACUUGCUCAAA